UUUGCACAACGCUGCCAAGACUUGGUGAAAGUCAUUGAGGAUUUUCCAGCCAAGUGAAAACUGCUGAGACACUCAAGCAGAGCCAGCUGGAAGAGGCAGAAGCUAGUGGAGCUGCCUGGAAGUGGCUCAGACAAACUCAGCUGUGGGGAAAAGGCACGCCAACCUGUUGAAUUGCCUGCAAGUUAUGCAGUGUGUUCCAGAUUUCCUGCUAACCUGAGCUGUCACCCAUGCUGGGCUAGGCUUGCUUUGGUGAUACAGCUGUCUUUGAGUCAUUUCUGCUCCUGUAAGUUCUCCCCCAUAUUCUCGUAAUCCCAAUAAAAGUCACAGGUUCACCAAG